GAUGAACGCUAGCGGCAGGCUUAACACAUGCAAGUCGAGGGGUAACAGAGGUAGCUUGCUAUUUGCUGACGACCGGCGCACGGGUGCGUAACGCGUAUACAAUCUACCUUUUACAGAGGAAUAGCCCAGAGAAAUUUGGAUUAAUACCUCAUAGUAUUAUAAAGUGGCAUCAUUUAAUAAUUAAAACUUCGGUGGUAAAAGAUGAGUAUGCGUUCUAUUAGCUAGAUGGUAAGGUAACGGCUUACCAUGGCAACGAUAGAUAGGGGUCCUGAGAGGGAGAUCCCCCACACUGGUACUGAGACACGGACCAGACUCCUACGGGAGGCAGCAGUGAGGAAUAUUGGACAAUGGAGGUAACUCUGAUCCAGCCAUGCCGCGUGCAGGAAGACGGCCCUAUGGGUUGUAAACUGCUUUUAUAUAGGAAGAAACCGUUCCACGUGUGGAACUCUGACGGUACUAUAUGAAUAAGCACCGGCUAACUCCGUGCCAGCAGCCGCGGUAAUACGGAGGGUGCAAGCGUUAUCCGGAAUCAUUGGGUUUAAAGGGUCCGUAGGGCGGGCUAAUAAGUCAGGGGUGAAAUACCACAGCUCAACUGUGGAACUGCCUUUGAUACUGUUAGUCUUGAAUUAUAUGGAAGUAGAUAGAAUGUGUAGUGUAGCGGUGAAAUGCUUAGAGAUUACACAGAAUACCGAUUGCGAAGGCAGUCUACUACG
rnacentral:rRNA from 1 species